CAGUUUACUUAUGUAACAAACCUGCACAUGUACCCUUGAACCUAAAAUAAAAGUUAUAGUUUAAAAAUAACCUACAUAAAUAUAUGACUUUGCAGCCCAAAUUUCUUCUUGUUCAUAGGGGCUACUACAAAUGCCUUUUUUACAUACUUUACUAAAAUACAGAUAUGUAACCUGGGACACCACUUCCCAUAUCAGUCAAGUAACCUACCACAUAAGAAGGAAGAAUGGAGUUCUGUAACACCAUUGGUGCAUCCACUUGGAUCCCUGAUGGUCUUUGUGUUCCUCUAGAGUGCCCAAAAGUAAGCUGUUUAAUCAUCAAAAUCUAAGAUUGUUCUGGAGUUCAGCAUGUAGAGUCUUGGAUUGUUGUUUCAGCCUGUAAACUGGGGAAGGUGGACAUUUACUUCUAUUUGAAAUCUACUGGUACUUCUUCCAUUCUCUAAGAUUUCUCAAAGAUGCACCAAUAAUGAUGUUGUCGUCAUGUAGGUAUAAAUAAAUAGUAGUUCAGACACUGCUUUGAUACUUGUUUUGCUAUUAGUUCACCCAUUAAGACUGGGAGAGAAUAAACUAAUAGUAAGUUACUUGUCUAAAUUCAUACAACUAGUAAAAGGAGUCACACAAUCUCCUCCUACUUGGGGUAAAACAGUCUCAAUACUUUUCAGUACCUUCUCCAAGUAAGAGGAGAUUGUUUGACUCCAAGUUCAAUACGUUUCAGUACUUUCUCCACUAUACUGCCUUGCUUCUAGAAUAGCAAAGUGGAAAGCAUCAGGUUCAUACACCACCUCCAUGCCCCCCAUACCCCAUACAUGUUGGGUUUGCUUCCACACAGCCUAUAUUUUAAACUGAGUCUCUCUCAAAACCAGUUACUCUUAUUAGAGAGCCAGAGGAUUUGGACCUUAGGUCUUAGAGGGUAUUGUAGCUACUACAUUUUUAAAGAAAAACCCAAAGCGCCCCAGGUUUCUAAAGCCCUGGAGAAAGCUAUCAGCCAUUAUUGUGACUUCAAUUAGGUGCACACCACAGAGAAAUGAAAUACCUUUGGAAUGCUGGCAUGGUUCAAAGUCAGACCUCGAAGCCUGCUGUUUUUGAAUGCUGGGGCACUGUGCGGCCAAUAUCAACAGCAGGUGGGGGCCAAACCAGAAAUUUUUCAUUUUUAUUGUUAUAGCACUUUUAUACCUUUUACAUACAUAAUUUUAAAGGCCUGACAAAAUCUGAAGCCUGAUUAUUGAAAUAAAAUUCAUGUAUUAUUUUCUCCUCUGGCAGGUUCUCAAAGUAUUGGUCUUGAGGGUUUUCUCACAUAAGAGGGCCUCUUAUUUGUGUCUUAACAGUAAUACUGCUAUAGUUUUAAAAUGCUAAUGAAAAUGUCCACACUCAUAUAAGUCAGUAUCUCAUUUGCUAUAUCGUAUUAUUCAUGGUAGCCAGUUGCCCAAGUGGUCUCAAUGAGGCCAAGGACACGGAUUCAAUUGUAGGAAGCCCAGUUAGCUCCACUCUAUUUGCUGUCCAAAGACCCUGGCCCCUUCAUUGUGGUUAAAAGCCUCAUAAAUCUUCGUUCAUUUAGCCAUAGGGGAGGUAGGCUUCAGCUUUAACUAGCUAGGACUUCCCAUGCUUGGAGACACGGAAGCUAAGGGGUCACACUUGAUAAAGAUAGCCUUCACCCAUGUUAUUAGCAAUAUAUUAAACUCUACACAACACUAAAUCUUUCUCCAUUUCAGCCUCACUUCCUAACUAUAGGAGUCAUCAUCCAUUUGCUGAAAAUGCAUUUCUUCCAUUAAUUGCAUUCAUGGCUUCGGUCUGCAUUGACUCAGGUUUUGCCUAAGAAAAGUAUAAAAGGAAAUGAUGGAAAGAACUGUAGAGCUGAGGAAGCUGACUCUGCUAGCUACCAUCUUUUAAAAUAUCUCACCGUAUACACAAGUACUAUCUAUAUACUGACUGAAGAUUUAUGUAUGUUUUUCAUUAGCAAAAAGAAAAAAAAAACACUUUUCCCUGCUUUUUGUUCAGGUGUUCAAAUUGUGAAGCUCUUUUACUGGUGAUAAGGCAAGAAGAUAUUGUCGCCAGGGAAGCCUGUGAACAGAAAGAAAUAACUCCUGAGAUUACACCUGCUUUUGAUUUGGUGCCAGUAGGAAUGAUGGUAUACACAUUUUACAGAAGUCAUUUUUUAAUGUUAAGAAAAAAUUAUCAUUAGUUUCCAAGAUCUUUAUAAUAAGCUACUAAAUUGGUAUACUAAUAUACCUUUGUCCUAAAACUUGGAAGCCAUACCAAAAUCCUUGAUUCAGAUUCCUUUCUUCAAUAGAGAGGGGACAGGUACAAAAAACAAAUUUUCUUUUUCUGAUGAUACGUGCAUUAUCUUGCUUACAAAAGCCACAGACAUCGCAACUGCUUAACACAGGCAAGGAUCCAGUCACUGAUACCUUCCUGAAGCUGAACACAUGGAAAUGUCGUCGUUGCCACCGCCUCCUCCUUCUCCUCCUCCUCCUCCUCUUCUUCCUCCUCCUCCCUUCUUCUUCUUCCUCUUUUCUCCUUCCUCUACUCCUUCUUUUUCACCUUCUCCUUCUUUUUCUUUUUGAUAUUUUAAGAUUGGAGGAUUACAUUAUGAGGCCAAAGUUAAUAUGCCAUUCUGGUGAAAGGCUCCGGAAACUAAAUCACUCAAGGGGUUUUGUUCCGGAGGGUUGGGACAACCUCUGAGGCACUGCGGAGAUGGAGGCACGCUGAGCACACUUGCGGAAGCCUAGGAGGCAGAUCGUCUUGCAAGGUUCCAUCCAUUGAGCUGAUUCAUCUUCAAGGAGUCGCCAGUUGGAAAGGGUUGUUAAAGCAAUAGAUUAAGCCACCAGCAUUAUAGUAGUUUAUUUGCAUUUUCCUGCAGGUCAGCCUCUGUUUAAAAGUACAUUUAUACUGUAAUCAUUGUGUAUAGCAACAGCUUUGACAUUAGCAACACAAGAGUUUGAGUCCUGGGCAAAACUCUACCAUUUGCAUGAUUCUGAGCAAAUAAUUGAAACUCUCAAAGCCUGUUUGCAUUUUAUGAAAAUACCCACUUUUGGGUGUAUUUUAAAGAUUAAAUGACUGGGUGAUUAGAAUGUUUAGCAGAAUAUCUCGUACAAGUGCUCAGCACAAAACACCUAGCUAUUUCUUGCAGAUGUCUCCCUGUCCUCCUCCUUUGUGUUGGUUUCCAAUGCCUGCCUUUCCGGUCUGUUUGUAUUCUUGCCUCUCUUAAAGUUCUAUUCUCAUUCGAUUUUUUUUUUUUGAGGCCUUUACUCACAAAAAAAGACACAAUGUUUCUGAUUUCAGCAAAUGAUUUCCUGCCCCAAUAAGCAAAACAUUCUGGGCAGAGCUCAUGUGUUGCAAGUUAAUGACGAACACCAACACUGGUUUUCCCUGUUUGUUUCCUAGGGAGCUUGUUCUGAGCUGUAUUAUGUUUGCAUCUUUAAUGAGAGAUGUAUUCUGUUGCUAUGGCAUAUUGAAAUCUAUGACUUCCUCUGGAAGGUGGAAUUGUCACCUUCCACCCCCCUCAGGUUUUCCCUUGGGCUUUCUGAGAUUGAGAUCUAGUGGCUUAUGAAACUACACUUAAUCAGAUAAGUCUCACACUAAACUCAAUGCCUUUGACUUCUAAUUUCUGCAUUUUAAGUCUUCCUGUAAUUCAGUGGCACAGAUUUAUUGAAGCUUCUGCCAGCAACAAUCUGCUCUGAUUCGCUGCAGUUUUAAUAGUUCCUGCUGAAAUAGGUGGGCACACAGUGGGUAAGGAGAUGAACACAGUUUUGCGUCAUUUAUUUCAGGUACCAGGCUGAGACCCACAUUUCAGUAGGUAAAAAUGUAGGUAAUUGACUUUCAUGCUGGUUCCAGGGUAGUAAUUAUAUGGCCAACUCCCAGGUUCAACUUGUCCCUAUAGCCUGUUCUGAGCAGAUCUCAUUUCCAGUAUCUUUGAGUUGGUGAAAUUUCCUUUAAAAUAAUCCAAUGAAUCUAACAAAGCAAAUCUUCGUUCUCUCUGCACUAAAGGACACGCAAUUUCUCUUAGUAUUCAGAGCUCCAGUGUCCUAGGAUGUGAGCUCUGCUUUGCAAUUCCUUGUCAGAAUGCUGCUGUCGUCGCCAACAAGCAUGGCAGAAUGCUGUGGACUCUUAAGAGUUCAGGAGGCCUGCAGUGCUGCUGGGUGGCUCCUGUUGCUCUCAUCUGAGGUCCAAACAGAAGUCAGAGAUCUUAAACUACCACAUUUGUACCUUAUCAUACAAUCUGGAAUUGAGAAUGUAGAGUCUAAGUUCAAUGGGUGCAUAGACCAGCAAAAAUUUACAGACAAUUUUCAGCUGUAUCAUGGGGUUGCCAUAUUUUUGUGUUGCUUUUAAGCACAUUGAUAAUCAAACUGCUAAUUAAUGGCUAUUACCAUUGUAUAAAAGAAAGGACUUUUUAACAUAAGACAGUAAAAAGGACAAAUCUUAGAAUUAAGAAUAAAUUUGACUUUGUGAAUAACUCACUACAUAAUCUCUUUCUUUCUCUGCCUCUCUCUCUUUAUCACUCACUCUCUCCUUUUCCUGCAAAGGAGAUGAAAACCUCAUCAAGACCAGCACUGAUUUGGGAAUCACCAAUAGAGUCAACACCUUACUUGCAGAUGAUGAAACUAAGGCCCCCUAAGGUGAACUGUGAACUGAAUUGAUGAAAACUGGGACCAAAGCCCAGAUCUCUGGGCUCCUUGUCUGACUGGCAGAACAGAGGCAACAAUACACUGAUUGGACCCGAGAGCUCCCCUGACUGAGAUGCUGGUUGUCAUGUGGAAGGCCUGGGGCCCGGACUGCCGCUUCACGCAACCCCUCAGUUAUACUGGACUACGCAAAGCGCUUUACUGAGUGGCGAUGCCAUUCUUCAGAAAUCAUCACUCCCAGAGACACCUGCACUCCCUGCAGCCCAGUCAGAAUCCCUUGAGGAAAAAGCCCUGCAAGAUUCUGGAGUAGAUCACUGACAGGGCAGGUGCAGUCUCUACUCAGCAUUCCAGUUAAGUGAUUCCUCGCCAGUCUCUGAGGCCAGACGUCCUCUCUACUUUUUUUAGUAGGUAACUCCCUGACCAGGCACUGAAAAUCUUGGGUAAAAAUCACAAAGUGAUUUAAAAAAAAAAAAAAAGACAAAUUGGAAAAGAUACCUGUGGAGGAUAUUUUCCAAAUACUUUGGAAAUCUUUUUGAAUAUUCUGGGCUCAGCAAGGCACUGGGCUCUCAGGGGCCAUCUAUGGACAAGAACAUUGCCAUCCCAAGAUUAGAAUUGCAUGAAGCUAGCAGAAGCUUGGGAAGCUGAUGUUGAAAAUUUAAGACUAACUCCCUAAGAGGCAGCAUUUAUUCUUAAUUCCCCAGCAGUAACAUUGUGCUUUUCUCUAGAAGGAGAUACAUGGUGAUCUUUCUCUGAACUUUAAAUGAUCAUAGUAGACCAGUACCUGUAGUAGUAGUAGUAGUAAGUUAACAUUUCCUGUGUGCUGGGCACUAUUCUGGUUACAUGUAUUAAGUCAUUUAGUCCAACAAUAGCCCUUUGCCAUCAGUAGUAUUAUUAUUGUCCACGUUUUACAAAUGAGUUAACUGAGGCACAGAACUCAAGUCACUUACCACCCUCAGUUCCUUAUCACAUGGGCCUCUCCAUAAGGUGACUUAGAACAUAGCAGCUUGCUUCACUAGAACAAGUAUGUGGGAAGAUUCAGACAGACAGAGGGUGAAAGCGAGAUGCAAGCCUAUCUUCUGUAACCUAAUUGCAGAAGUGACAUCACAUCACUCUGCCAUAUGCUAUUCAUAAGAAGCAAAUCACUAGCCUCAGCCCACACUAACAGGGAGGAGAUAACACAAACGGCAUGAAUAUCAAGAGGUGGAGUUCACUGGGACCAUCUUAAAGGAUUCCUUCCACACGGUCUGACGACAGAGCCCAAGACCUUGACCAAAAGAAGAGACAGGUCACAUUUUCCCUAGGCAAACUUGCAAGAACCAAACCUAUCUCAACAGAGAGUGCAGGAAUGGGGAAGUUGUAUCGCAGACGCCAGCUCCAGCCAGGGUUUCAAGUCAAUGAGUUUCAUUUAAAGUCACUUGAGCUCCAAGAGUUAUAUUUUCCUACCUGGCAAACUCAGACAGCGAUUCCAUUCAGCACCAAGAAUAAGGAAAAUGAAGGGUUACGAAUGAUGAUUAUUUCUCGAAUUCCUAAUUUAAAGUUAGUGAUAAGAGCAGUUAAACUCCGGAACAGUCACCCCUUUCCUCUGUGUUCCUGUCCCUUGUCCUCACCCCUCUCUAAUUUUGCGUGUCUCUCUGUGGCAGUUUCUGAGCUUUCUUUGUCUAUCUUCCUUUUGUUCCCCACCUUUUGACCAGCUUUCUCUAUCUUACUGCUCUGUAUUUUUCUUUUCAUUUUUCAGUUCCUAGGUGUUGAAUUUUUUUAAUUUAUAAAACUUUUUAGGAAGGGAAAAGUAGACAAAUUUACAAUAAAGUAGUGCACUGGUCAGUUUUAUGUGUCAACUUGGCUAAGCCAUGGUCCCCAGUUAUUCAACCAAGCACUAAUCCAGGCAUUGUUGUGAAAGCAUCUUGUAGAUGUGAUUAAUAUCUACAGUCAAUUUAAUGUAAGGAAGAUCGCCCUGGAUAAUCUGGGUGGGCCUAAUCUAAUUAGUUGAAACUGAGGGUUCCCUGCAGAAGCAGGUAUUUUGUCCGAAGGCUGCAACACCAUCUCCUGCCCAGGAGUUUCCAGCUUGCCCUUCUUGGCAGCCGGCCCUACAGAUUUGUAUGUGCCUAGCCUCCCUGUUACAUAAUUUCCUGCAGUAAAUCGAUGUGUGUGUCACGUGGGCGUGUGCAUGUGUGUGUGUGUAUUCUGUUGAGUCCUGAAUGACAUAGCUGGCAGGAAUAUCCAAUAGUUCUGAGAGUGGUCUUUAUACUAAUAGGGAGGGGGGGGAAUAUUUUCAUUUUAAAAGAAUUGAAUCACUUGAAAUGAGUUUUCUCAUUUGUGUUUUCAAAGAUACUAUUUUUUCCCCAGAGUAGAAUUCCAGAUAUCCCUCAAGUCAUGCCACGCUGGCCACCUCUAGUUUGGCCUGAAUUAGGCCUUGGUAAUGUGUCUGCAGUUGGUUUCACCCACUGGGUUCUUGGUCUCGCCGACUUCAAGAAUGAAGUUGUGGACCCUCGCGGUGGUUACAGUUCUUACACAUGGUGUGUCCGGAGUUUGUUUCUUCAGAUGUGUCCGGAGUGUAUUCCUUCUGGUGGGUUCAUGGUCUUGCUGACUUCAAGGGUGAAGCCGCAGACCUUCACAGUGAGUGUUACAGCUCUAAAAGGUGGCGAGUCUGGAGUUGUUUCUUCCUUCCGGUGGGUUUGUGGUCUCGCUGGCUUCGGGAGUGAAGCUGCAGGCCUUCGUGGUGAGUGUUACAGCUCAUAAAAAUAAUGCAGACCCAAACAGUGAGCAGCAGCAAGAUUUAUUGCAAAGAGCGGAAAAACAAACGCUGUAAACCACAGAACGUGACCCCACCGCCCGCCUCGGCCUCCCAAGGUGCUGGGAUUACAGGCGUGAGCCACUGCGCCCGGCCUGUUUUAAUCUUUAAUGUGGUAGUAAAUAUUAUUAGAUAUAACCCACAUAAACAAAAGCUCUUUGGGUUCUCAACAACUUUUAAGAGUCCAAGGAAUCCUAAGAGCAUAAAGCUUGUUGAGUAACCACUGCUGUAGACCACUGAUUAUGGUCAUGCUGAAACAAAAAGUAGAAUGUGCCUUUAGGGGUGACUGGUCCGAGGAAUUGGGAACAGCUUAGAGUGGCCAUGGAACCUAGAGUCCUCUCCCUCUUGCUAAUAGCUAAAUUCACACCAGAAGCUAUGUUGUAUAUAUGUAUUUUUUUAUCUUCUACAGAACCCAGCAAGAUUUUGAAUGCCGGAUACAUACUCUGUAGGUAUCAAUUGAUUUAUGUUUAUUAAUCUUCAAUUUUGCAACAUGUAUUAAUUUAGAAUAAGGGGGCAUCUAUCUUACAGCUCAAGAAGAUUAAUGUCCACUUGAAGGCUAAAACCUGAGCAGUUUGGGAGGCCCACCCUCCCUCAGGCCAUUGCAGCUGCCAUGUGAGUUCAGUGGGUUGAGGGAUAGAGGUAGGAGAAAGGUCCAUGCCCCAUUCAAGCUGGAACCUGUUCUCUGCAACUUGGAGCCUUUCUUUGGUCCGUAGAGCCACAAAGCCCAUCAGAUUCUGGUAUUUUCCUUCAGUUAGAGAAACUGGCAGGAUAUGACACCUAUUUUUACAACAUAAGUUCUUCAGUGAAGAUUUAUGACUGUUGACAUAGAACUCAAUGUGUCCUCCCUGUAUACAUGCUCUAUUCUAGUACACUCUUUAAGUCCUGACUAGAGUACGGUUACAAAUGCUGACUCAAACCUCAUCUCUAUAGCUUACCAGCUGUGAAAACUUGAGCAAAUUUCCUAUACUCCACCAGCCUCAGCUUCCCUAUCUGUAAAAUGGGAAUAACAGUAAUACCACCUGAAAAGGUUGUGGUGAAAAUUAAAUGAUAUAAUGUAUACCAAGUACUUAGCAUGGGUGCCUGACACAGCAAAAGAUCUGAAGAAAUGUUAAGUACUUUUUUGUGUGAGGCAGAAUCAUAGGGCUGGAAAGAGACUUUCUGUUCUUAUUUGGUCGUUAAUAUUUAAUAUGCUAAGCUCUAGAGAGACUAGUUAUUUGCCACUGCCCUUGGUAAGAAUGGGAAUGGAAAAAAGCAGAUCAUGUCUUGCUUCUUUUUCAUCCUCAUCAAAGCCCAAGGAAUGAAAAUAGGAGGAGAAGAAUCAUUCAUUUACUAAAGAAAAUAAUGCCUCCAUUUUGACCACCUGCUGUGUGUGAGUUUGCGACAAUCCCCUUCCAUCCAACAAGGUUGUGUUUAUGUUUUAACAGGAGCGUCUCUCGCUAGAGCAGAAAGGACGCGGCAUUGGCCAGGCAGCAUGUGUGUUUGUUUGCCCUGAGUCCUGGGGCAGCUAGUUAUCUUGGGCAGAGUUACUUUUCAGGUCUGGAGCCAGGAAAACACACUCCUUAAUGCCCACAUGGUUGCAGUGUGACACAUAGCUUGGAAGCUUGCCACACCUAUUGCAGCUGCUGCCUGACUUGUGUCCCAGGAAAGAUUGUCUUCAUGAGAUAUUCUUAGGGAUGAAUGCUGUAAGAAACGUGCACACCACGCAGGACAGCAGCCACCUAACUUCAGAGGUUCGUCCUCGCACAGGCCCCUGCAGUCUGGGCUAUGCCGGUGGUCUGCCUAGGAAACGGCCUUCAGUAUGCAGGGGACUGUGAGUUGCCCAGUAACUGCAUUUGAGAAUCAAAGCACCGAUUUCAGGCAGCGAUGGGCUGUGUGUCUGGAGACAGGUGUGGAGACUGCUUUCGUGUGCUCCUGCUGAAGGAAUAGAAGGCAGCAUGAACUCAGACUGAAUGGCUGGCUCUGGUAUGUGUCUGAAUUAAAACCAAACCACCAUUUCACCAAUGGCACACAGAUGGACCCCUGCUUGACACCACAAGAGGAAAACUAAAAAUGAAAUCAGCCAGAAUAACUAAUUUUGUUAUUAGUUAAAAUAAUUUCAAAACAAGCAACUCUAUUGUUUUAAAAGGGAACAUCAAAAUAACAGGAAAAUUGGAAAGUAGCAAUGUCAUAUAAUGUCUGAAAAUAAGCUAAAAAGAAUGCACAUUAUUUCAGUGGAAGAAGAAAAGUCCAAGGAAAAGACACAACAAAACUUUUCGUAUGUGUCAUAAGCUGUUCCCAUCACUACUGAAGACACAAGGGGAGAAAGUGGUUUGUACUCUACUCCUAGGAAUCUGGGUUAGACCAUGAGAGCAACUGCCAUGAUAACAGUGGGGAAGCAAACAGGGACGUAAUGGGACAAUACCUCAUGAGAGUCCCUGUGUGUUUGGAGUGGCUCAGGGCCUCCUUUCCAUCUUCGGCAGUGAGUUGCAAAUAGUGCAGUGCAUUACUUUCUACAUAAUUAUUUAACCUAAGGAAACACUUCAAUGAUGACCGCCGCCUGCAAUGAGGCAAUAGCAAGGAUUAAAAAUAGCCAAGGCAAGUCAUUAAAAUAUCAGGUAGCAAACAGUCCUUAAUGAAUGAAACAAGUUUUUUGGAAGCAAGGACCUAUGACUAGGAAGACUUGGAAAAUUGUAGGCUUGUGUGUGCUUAUUCUAAUUUUCCAUUGUGUAUGUUUUUGCUUGUAUUUCCCUUCCCGCCCCUCAACCAUUCAGGGCUAACUCGAUUUUAACCCCUCCAGUCUCACACUUCCACAUAAUUAGGUUAGGUCGCCCUCUGGUGGCACAGAGCUAAUCUAGCUUCUGAUAAAGCCUGUGUAUUCUCUGCAAUGCAAUGCCUUAGAUUUGAGCUAAUUAAAUAUUCUGUUAACGCUUUCAUAUGUAGCAAAUAUAAACUGACACUUUUUAAUGGAAAGAAGCAGCAAUAAAAACCUAAUUACA